UGAUAUAGCUCAGUGGUAGAGCACUUCCUUGGUAAGGAAGAGGUCCCGGGUUCAAGUCCCGGUAUCA
rnacentral:tRNA from 1 species